rnacentral:rRNA from 1 species
CGUCUAGGCGACACGGGGGUUGUAGGACCACGACGUGGCAAGAUAGAGUCAAGUGGAACGCCUUGGAAAAGGCGGUCAUAGAGGGUGAAAACCCCGUACACGACUGACGAUUGAAGCCUAGUGGUAUCCUGAGUAGCGCGGGGCACGAGAAAUCUUGCGUGAAACAGCGGGGCCCAUCCCGUAAGGCUAAAUACUCCCGAGAGACCGAUAGCGAACCAGUACCGUGAGGGAAAGGUGAAAAGAACCCCGAGCAGGGGAGUGAAAUAGACCCUGAACCCGUCUGCCUACAAGCGGUCGGAGCGUUGUUAUGACGUGACGGCGUGCCUUUUGCAUAAUGAACCUACGAGUUACCUUCCCCGGCAAGGUUAAGUACCUAAGGUACGGAGCCGAAGCGAAAGCGAGUCUGAAGAGGGCGGCCAGUCGGGGGGGGUAGACGCGAAACCGAGUGAUCUACCCUUGGCCAGGUUGAAGGUUGGGUAACACCAACUGGAGGACCGGAUGGGUAAGCGUUGAAAAGCUUUCCAAUGAGCUGAGGGUAGGGGUGAAAGGCUAAUCAAACUCGGAGAUAGCUCGUACUCCCCGAAAUGCAUUUAGGUGCAGCCUCUUUAUAGUAUAUCGUGAGGUAGAGCGACUGAUUGGAUGCGAGGGCUUCACCGCCUAUCAAGUCCAGAUAAACUCCGAAUGCGCGAUAUAUAUUUAAAGGGAGUGAGGGCGCGGGUGCUAAGGUCCGUGUCCGAGAGGAGAAGAAUCCAGACCACCGGCUAAGGCCCCCAAAUGAUCGUUGAGUUGAACUAACGAGGUCGGAUCGCAGAGACAGCUAGGAUGUUGGCUUGGAAGCAGCCAUUCAUUUAAAGAGUGCGUAACAGCUCACUAGUCGAGCGAUCUGGCGUGGAUAAUAAUCGGGCAUAAACGAUCUGCCGAAGCCGUGGAUGUCGUAAGACAUGGUAGGGGAGCAUUCCAUGCGGCGUCGAAGAUGAGGGAUGACCCUUGUUGGAGCGCAUGGAAAAGCAAAUGUAGGUAUGAGUAACGAUAAGGGGGGCGAGAAACCCCCCCGCCGAAAGACCAAGGUUUCCUGAUCAACGCUAAUCGGAUCAGGGUGAGUCGGGACCUAAGGCAAAGCCGAACGGCGCCGCCGAUGGAAGAAUGGGUUAAUAUUCCCAUACUGCCUCAUGGAGUGACGUGGAGACGGAGAAGUGACAGUCCUGCCGGCUGACGGAAUAGCCGGUUGAAGGGUGUAGAUAUUGAUUCCCGUAGGCAAAUCCGCGGGGAGAGUCGAACCUGAGAGUAUACGGAGCGCUUGCGCGACGUAAUAUGGACGUAACCAUGCUCCCGAGAAAAUCCGCUAAACUUAUCCAUGCGGCACCCGUACCGUAAACGGACACACGUGGUCGGGUUGAGAAUACUGAGGCGCUCGAGUGACUCACGGUUAAGGAACUAGGCAAAUUGACCCUGUAACUUCGGGAUAAAGGGUCCUCGUCGUAAGGCGAGGCGCAGAGAAUAGGUCCAGGCAACUGUUUAACAAAAACACAUGGCUGUGCUAAAUGGAAACAUGACGUAUACAGCCUGACACCUGCCCGGUGCUGGAAGGUUAAGAGGAGAUGUCAUCGCGAGAGAAGCGUUGAAUUGAAGCCCCAGUAAACGGCGGCCGUAACUAUAACGGUCCUAAGGUAGCGAAAUUCCUUGUCGGGUAAGUUCCGACCUGCACGAAUGGUGUAAUGAUCUGGACACUGUCUCAACCGUGAGCUCGGUGAAAUUGUAGUAUCGGUGAAGAUGCCGAUUACCCGCGAUGGGACGAAAAGACCCCGUGAACCUUUACUAUAGCUUUACAUUGAAUUUGGGCAGACGAUGUGUAGGAUAGGCCGGAGGCUUUGAAGGGGGUACGCCAGUAUCCUUGGAGCCGCCGUUGAAAUACGGCCCUUCGGUUGUUUGAGUUCUAACUCCGAGGCAGGAGGACACUGUAUGGUGGGUAGUUUGACUGGGGUGGUCGCCUCCAAAAGCGUAACGGAGGCUUCUAAAGGUGCCCUCAGACCGAUUGGUAACCGGUCGCAGAGUGUAAUGGCAUAAGGGCGCUUGACUGGGAGAGAUACAACUCGAUCAGGUAGGAAACUAGAGCAUAGUGAUCCGGUGGUUCCGCAUGGAAGGGCCAUCGCUCAAAGGAUAAAAGGUACUCCGGGGAUAACAGGCUGAUCAUUCCCAAGAGCUCAUAUCGACGGAAUGGUUUGGCACCUCGAUGUCGGCUCGUCACAUCCUGGGGCUGGAGAAGGUCCCAAGGGUUGGGCUGUUCGCCCAUUAAAGUGGCACGCGAGCUGGGUUCAGAACGUCGUGAGACAGUUCGGUCUCUAUCUAUCGUGGGCGCAGGAGAUUUGAGGGGCUCUGACACUAGUACGAGAGGACCGUGU